GCCGCGGGGAUGAGCAGGAUUCGCGGGGAAGAAGGAGCAGCAAGCAACAAGAUUGGUGAAUUAUCACGUGCGCGCAGUACAACCAGUGAUUCGAAUGUGUGAGUUCUGUCCUGGUGUUGCUGUUGAUCUCAAUAUAUUAACUUGCUUCUUCAGCCAUUCACCUAUUAUUGAGAAGCUUAUAUUCCAGCUUUCUAAGGCAUCUUAAGGUAGUUGAGAUCAAAUGCAAAGAAGUUGACAGGAGAAUUCAACAGCUUUUAGACAUCUUGAGUACUUAUGGCAUGCCACUCGAGCAAGAAAAUAUCCAACGAACAAAUAGAGCUUCUGGAUCUUGAUGUACCUUUAAAUCUUCAAGUACAGAAUAAGGAGACCUGGGUUAUUGAUGGAUCAACUAGUGUCCCUAACCAUAACAUUGGGGCAACCUUGUAAUGGGAUGCUUCCAUCUUCCUUCUAGAGACAUCUUUUGUCACUUCCACUCAAACAACCAAACGACCGACUUGCUAGUAUGACUUGUAUAGUCAGCUGGACAAAUUAUAUUGUUUCUAUUCCAGUUUUUGUUGAUGGAUUAGCAAGAUAAUUUAUCAGAUAAGUCAUGUAGACAGCCGUGAUUGAACUUUUCUUUUAGGCUGGUCGGUCCGUAAAAUUAUACUCCAAAACUUUCAGUUGAUCUAUUGCUUGGUGUUAAUUCAGGCAUUGCUA